rnacentral:pre_miRNA from 1 species
CACGUACUCCGUUUCACAAUACAUGCCUUUCAUUUGUCAAAAUAUAGAUGUAUCUAGACAUGUUUUAGUAUAUAGGUACAUCCAUUUUUGGAUAAAUGGAAGUCAAGUAUUUUGAAACGGAGGGAGUACAAU